GUCUGGCAGAGAUGAAGGAGCAAAAGAGAGCUAAUGAGUCUGUAAUGAAAUUUAGUGCCAAUAAAAGGGUUGCUAUUAAAUUCAAGGCCGUGAAAUUUUCGGUAUACACCCCACACAAUUAGAGACUAACAACUCGAUCCCCCACCUGCUCUAGCUCUUCCAGCUCGGGUCAUUUUCUGGACACUGACUUCCUGCUGACACUGACUGGUGAUGUCACAGUGAGAUUUUUGACAGUCAUUAAAUAAAUAUCUGCUGGAGGACCAGCAGGGCCGCAGGGCCACAGGGCCAAAGAGACCCAGAAGUGAGUGGGACAUGCAGUCAUGGGGUCCAGAAAGUCACUGUCUACACAGUUAGCACUUGGGCUGUUUUCCCAUGAGGAUCAAAGUGCAGUGUUUACAGAUUGGCAAUUUGUCUAUAUGAGCCUUCCAGAGACUGCACUUGCAAAUGGAAGCAGAGGGCGUGGAAAUGGAUGGAGACUGGUGAGGCCUAGAAUACCAAUGUUCCUCUACGCACAAAGGGUCACACCCCGUAAUAAAAACAUCUUCAGCUGAAAAUACUGGAAGCUAAAUGUACCAAAUGCACCCGACCCCCAGAACAUCACAGCUGUGACUGGCUUCCAAUAGAGAUGCUGAGCACUUAUGUUGGCCUACACUUGGGCAAAGUCAUCUAACACAAGCCCGUGUUAUGAUAAAGUAUCAAAUAUCUCUCGUAGUUAAUUGAAUCCUGCACGGUACACUGCAGAAUCUCAGCUGUCCACCUUUGUGACCCUGGGACUGGCUGGGAGCUGCAGCGCUCUGCCCAGCAUUGAGAAAGGGUAUUCUACUGCCUGUGACUAGCUCAAGUUCACAAGGUGGCAACUGUUUGCAUAGGACUGUCACCCCAGAGCACUUUUAAUGUAUGUGAUUCCAAGUACAAGCACAGGGCAGGAAGGGGGCAAGGAAAGGAGAGAGUGCGGAAGGAGAUCCGAGAGUCCCGACACAAACAUCCCCAGGGAGCCUGUCUACACGGAUGCCGGAGCACGAGCCUCACGGUGAGUGGGAGCAGGACUGGGCUGACGUCCUUCGGUCCAUCCCAAAUCCCACCAAUGGGGGUCUGACUCCUCUGGCUGGGACUGCAGGGUCCCCCAAAGGUCCGAGUGUUAAAGGCUCGGCCCCCAGCUUGGUGCUACUGGGAGCCGGCAGAAGUUUUUAGGAGGUGGUGGUGAUGGUGUGUGUACUUCCCAGCUCUGAGGUGAGGGGAUUUGCCCUGCCACACUCCCACCAUGAGGUCCACAGAGGCCCAAAGCAAUGGGGCCAACAGGUCCUGGUCUGAAACCUCUAAAACUGUUAGCCAGACAGGCCUUAUGACACACACACCUGUAAUCCUAGCACUUAGGAGGCAGAGGCAGGAACAUGACUGUGAGUUCAAG
rnacentral:lncRNA from 1 species